UUGUAGUAUAAAUAGAAAAUAUAACUAAUUUCAAAAUUUGUUUCUUCCAAUGAGAAUCUGGUUACCUAAACUACGAAAUACAUUUAACAUUGAUAUAUCUGUAGAUAAAAUGAAGUAUGUAUGGUUUCUCCCCAUAGAAAAAUUGAAGAAUAUGGGUUAGAUUUAUCUAUUUAUUUAUGUUCAAUAGCACUGACAGCUAAGGCAUUUCAAAUCACAAGAAGAAGAAUUAAGUGUUUCAACAUUAGAAAAUAUUCAAAAAUACUUUUAUUUAAAAGCCAAAUACAAAUUAAAAUGAUUAUAUUGAGCAGUUAUGAUUAAUUAAUGGUUUUGAUAAGUUAUUCUUAAAUCUUGUUAUGAUAAAUAUGGUUAUUGUGUGAAUUUAAAUAGCAGCACAUUCGAUGUAGAAUUAAUAAGCAAUUUAAGCUUUGUUACAUCGACGUUUAACAGUUAUAUGAUAGUGUUUGAACUGUAAAUGGUAGCAGUUGGACAAAAUUGUUGAUUGAUAAAUGGAUUAGAGACGAAGGAAGUAACUUCAAAUUAAGGAAAUGAGAAAUAGCAUCAGCAGAAUUAUUUUUGUAUUUUAAUUGAAAACUAAAUCGCUUAAACAAGCAUGCAUUUGUUGAUAAACUACAUGUUUUUGAAAAUAAUUUUUUUUGUGAACUUAUCUGGGUAAGGUUUCUUGAUUUUAAUAUUGAUAUAUAUUCUGUAUCGAUCUUACAGUUUUUAGUUUGUGUUUUUAUUAUAUAAAAAAAUUGUAUAAAAUAAAAUCUAUUAUACAAA